UCCAAGCACAGCAGGCCUUGAUGA
rnacentral:piRNA from 1 species